UGAUUGACUCCUCAGCUGCACCUGUUAUCCUCUGCUAGGCUCAACAAACAGCACACUAGCAACAAGAGCUGUUAGCUCAUUAGCAUGGCAUAUGGAGGAUUAGUUCACAAGUCUAACAUUUUGUCAGAAGAGGCAAGAACUAGCAGAAUUCUUCAACCUAUUAUGGCGCUUUAUGGCACCAGUCGUGGAAGUGAACUCGGAACUCAGCGGUAACUAGGAAAAUAUUUGCCAACAUAUUGAGACCUGCAGCUAUUUCAGCUCCACCAAGCAGGAUAUUUUCACUUUGCUGGUUGGUCUUACCAGGGUCAGGACAAUGUCCCUGCAAGGGGAACUAACACCCAGCGGACCCAGUCCUGCUGGAAUAGGUGACUGUAGAAGAUACAGCCCCUAAAACUUUAUUUUACUCGAGUUUUUGACUUUUUGGAGCUCCAACAUCUUGGUGGUACUCAGGAACAAUGUAGCCAAGCAGCUGGAGAAGGGAGUGAAGCACCAUCACCAGCAGAGCCAAGUAACACAGCAACAGCUUCCGCCACAUAUUAAAGCUGGUGGUCAAGACACAUCCACAUCCAGCUGAUCAGAUACACGGCCAGAUUCAGGCCAAGAGACUCUAGAGACAGGCUGCUGCAGCUUCACUGGAGACUGGAACACCCAUCCUCCCCUUUGCUGGUGAUUUCAUGGUAGCCUGGCACAGCCGUACUCUGAUUUCAUUUCCAUUCUUUACUUCACAAACAGUGUCUGGGCUCUGUAAGAUUUAAAUCUAUUGUAAAAGGGGCAGUAGCAAUGGGCAUUGACAAAAAUACAUCGCAGGUGAUUGGAUCAUCUACAGUAUCUGUCUGCCAGCUAAGUCCAAUCAGACAAACAGCCCAUAUAACGCAGUAUGAGAGCGCUCAAGCUAAACAAACAGCAACUGUGAUGGGGAAAGCAAGCAAGCAUAUCGGUAAACAUAUUGUUAGCUUAAUAGCAUGCUGGUACCAGAUACUUAGCAGUUUUAUAAGGAAAAUCUACAUCGAUAUCCUGUUGUUGUUGUUCGGUGCUGUGUAGCUUCUCACUGUCGUCGCCUAAGCCACACCUCAAAGGGCCCCAAAGGACCUCAAGGGACACUGAUUGAUUUGGCCACUUUUUUGGCUUCCAGUAACACUUCUGCGGGAGCGUGGCCAGAUGGUUUCACGAGUCAAACGAAAAUUAACUUGCGAGAUCAGCUGGCUGUGCAAGGUUAGCUGCAUGGAGCCCCCAAAGUAAAACUGGUUGCACUAGUUCCCAUGUCCCCAGAUGGCCCAUAGUGCAUUUGGAAGGCUCCACAACCGUCGCAAGCCAGCUGGCACAGGCAGUGCUGGCCAGGCCCUCCAAUCGCAAAGUGGCCACUGCCACCCCGCAGGACGUCAGCCUGGUGGAGAGGAAGAUGGUAGAGGGAGGAAGACCUGCAGAUCACAGUCUGAAAGAGCCAGUGUGUGACCACUCCCUGGUGAAGUCCAAACACCCCACAAGCCUUUGUAGGAAAGACAUUUUUAAAAACAACUGUAUCUUUUUAAUAUAUCCUAUUCCUCUAUAGACUCUUAUCUCUUUUUUUUUUUUUUUAAAUCAUUUGGGCUUUAUGCCAGGUCUGGGGAUUGAGGUCAUCAGGCAGUGGACUGUCUGAACCACGUAAUGAUGACUGAUCUGUGAAAAGGAAGCAAUGAAACUCUUUUCUUGUUAGUCUAGAAUCCUCACAGAAAGAAAUGACUCUCUAAAAGUCCAACUUUGUUGUGAAAUGCAGCGGAAUUCUGAUUGAUUAGGUUUAAUUAAAUCGAUUGCACACCACUCGUAAAAAUUUCAAUCCACAGGAACAUUUCCUAACGAUAUGAUACAACCAUUGCUUAUUACAACAAUAACACAGCACUGCUUUAUACGGAAACUCAAGAUGCACCUCUCAGGAAUUCUGUGUUAGUUUGGUGUUAUUGCCUCGGGGUAAAAGUGGUGGCCAUUCUCUCCAGCUGAGGCAGCGCCAAUUGCAGUAGAAAACCACUACAAAUAUGUGACAGCAGUCGAAUGUGAAGCAGUUUGAGGAAUUAUUAAGCAUAAUUUUAUGUUGUAUCAUUUUGCAGGCCUACUAAUGAGGCUACCUCACUGCUCGGCUGAACAACACAGCACUGCUGCACAUUUAGCCUACAAAUCAAGUCUGCAAUCAUUCUGGCCACUUUUCCACCGUAUGGUAUGGCUCCACUUGAUUCUACUCUACUCUUUUGGUUUUCCAUCAGGCCAAAGCUCUGCAGUACCUGGUGCUUUUUUAUAUCACCUCUGCCUUCCAAACGAGCUGAGCCAACACUAAAAGGUGACAUGGAAACACUGCAGACCACUGACUGGUCAGAGAGAUUGAUCGCUAGCUGUGUCACUGCCUCACUGCGUCACCAUUGUGCGAUGUGUGAUACGCUGCAUAAACCAGCCAUUUUUAAAUAGCCAAGAUGCUAUAGUGGCAGUAAUUUUUAGAAAUUCACUGGGCUACUCGUUUUGAGGAGGUAUCCUAAAUUGAAAUAUCCUCCAUUGUUCGAGGAUUGAGCGAGGGAGUACUGUCUGCAGUGGUAAAUGAAAUCCAGAGAAAUAUCUGGUACCAAAAGCAAGUGGAGUCGAGCUGAGCCGGUACCAUAGUGGAAACGUGGCUCUAGUGUUUGCCACUAGUAGCUCUGACUGUGUUUUUCACCCUGACAGACUGAUGCCACGUGCUGAUCUUUCACUCACUAUUACAUCUAAUGUUUGGCAGUGUUCAGGGUUCAGUCAUCUAGCAAAAGGAAGUCUAAGAUGCCUUGGGAAGAUUUCCUCUCAAGCUGCUAUUCUUUCAGUUCUUUUGCACCAUGUUCACAUGGAUGCACAUAGAGUGUGAACUAAUGGAGCCAUUUCAAACCACCCAUACUCAGCGGAAUGGUUCUGUGGCCAGACUAGAGCAGCAAAUGUUUGAAAAAUAUCUGUCUGCAUUUUUAUUGCAGAAAUAAUGUAUUGUAAAUUCUACAUUAACCUUUUGUUUCAAUAAAAGCACUGGUAUGGCA